UACGUAGGGUGCAAGCGUUGUCCGGAAUUAUUGGGCGUAAAGAGCUCGUAGGCGGUCUGUCGCGUCGAGUGUGAAAACCCGGGGCUCAACCCCGGGCCUGCAUUCGAUACGGGCAGACUAGAGUUCGGUAGGGGAGUCUGGAAUUCCUGGUGUAGCGGUGAAAUGCGCAGAUAUCAGGAGGAACACCGGUGGCGAAGGCGGGUCUCUGGGCCGAUACUGACGCUGAGGAGCGAAAGCGUGGGGAGCGAACAGG
rnacentral:rRNA from 1 species